CCCUCUACGUGGCGCAGCCUCCGCCUCGCGUUCCGGCGCUCCUCCGCCGCAUGCGGCGCGCACGGCACAAACAAAGCAUCUCCACCCGCACUCCCCACCGCGGCGAUGCUGCCCUCCUAGACCGCUCCCAAAUUCUCCGCCCAACCAGAGCCAGGCUAGCUAGCUAGCUAGCCCGCCAUAAGCCGCAGGCGCCGCUGACCGGAUAGACGGAUGCCCUGGCCUCCAUUCGCCGCCGCCCGCCGCUAAAUCCCUCCUCCUACUCCUGCCUCAGCGUGGUGGUGGCGGUGGUGGUGGUGUGCCGGACCGACCGUGGCCCGCCGUACUCGGGGACUGCAAUGCUGUGACAUGACAUGGUUAGUUGCUCGCCGCUCCCAGAGGUCGGCUGUUGCAUCAGCGAUCACUCUCCUGUACUUGUUUCAUUUAUUUAUACGCUCGCUCGCUCGCUUUUCCCGGCCGAUGCUGUCUUGAUUAUUCUGCUUCCGGCGUUAAGCUAGCCUUUUGAUUUUGUAAGAACGACAUACUAGUAUGGCACAAGUCGGUGUACAUGUCUACUUUUCCAUCUAAAUUGGGUAAGUAUAGUUGUGUUGCCUUGCGUCAUGAUCCAUUCGUUUCGGGUUCCUAGCAAGGUGAACAGGCAAAUAAGGGAGGGGAUAUUUGCAAAAUCUUAUUAUAACUUUUUUUUUCGAGGAAAUCUAUUUAUUAUUUUGGAAAAAUAGAGCAACGAGUUUUUUUUUUUUGCAUCUGUUAGUUUGUUUCUAGUAGUUCGUUAGCUAUAGCAUAGUUUGUUUAUAGAGCUGCUUUACUUGUUUCAAACAUCCUCUUACCUUAUGGUCUGCUGAAAGGCAUCUGGUGGGCAUUCAGGUGCAGGUGUAAAUGCAAUCGAAAUAUCCGGCAUGAGCCCUCUGUCCGAGCUGGUGUGGUCUCCGGAUGAUGGUCUCAGCAUUAAAAUCGCGGCGUCCAGCCUAAGCACAAGAAAAGCCUCUCUUCGCUGGAACGCGGAUACUUUGAACAUAGUGAUAUCUUCGCCUCAGCAGAGCGGCGCCAAGAGUGGUGAUAACGUAGAUGCCACCCUAAGGGAUGCAGGAGAAAUGCCGUCGCAACCUCCAACUCACGGUGACACCUCAGUGAGAGUAUCCGCGGAUAGUCCAAAUAGAACACAAAACAUUGAUGUGCAACAAUCUACUUCUAUAACAUCACAGGAACAAGAUUCAAGUAAGUUUAAAAGACACCAAUCUAAUUUAGUGAGUUCGAGUGGUUUAGACACGUUGAUGCUUGGCUUUGGCUUUGGCUUAGAGAUCUGCAUUUAGCAACAGUUGCUGGUCGAGUUAACUGCUUACCUUGCCAGAAGAGUCCAAACUGUGUGAACAUAACCGGCACAAAUUUCAGAUGUGUCAAACAUCAUUAUUCCCUAAUGUUUGUUUGCGAGAUUUGUUAUCAAUCAUACGUUCUUAACUUUUCGCACUUUAUUUCGUCUACCAUGUCAUUGAUAGCCGGGUGGUCGGCACUUCUGAAUUCUCAUAAUCCAAAUGAAAAAAAAAAUCCAUAUUUAUCAUCCUGUUGUCGGUACGGGUGAUUAUCUUACAUUCUUUAAUGAUUAAAUUCUUGUAGAAUGUUCUGGAGGGAUCAGUGAGAUGAGUGAGGGGGAAGAGUUGUCUGACAACUGCUGUGCAGAUAAGUUGAAUAAAGAGGAAGUGGAUAUUUGCCCCACAAGAUGCUCAAACGAUGCUUCACACAGUAAUAUACCAUUUUUAGUCCAAUUAAUUAAAAACACACUUAUAUCUUUUGUUCUCAAAGUUAAAUUUUUAGCACGGCAUGUUACAGGUCCGGCUUCAAGAAAAGGCGCCCUGCAAAGUACUUCGGAAAAACAGGCCUAUUGUGCAACUGCUGUCCAUAAUGAGAGAUCUUGGGCAGAUAAUACCUGGCGAGCUCGAUUAGUAAAUGCAAUCAGUCAGAGGGACUAUGUUUUGCCAAACAAUGCAGUGAAUGCACAGUCACGUUCAUCCUUUGGGAGUUUCAGUAAUACAAAAAUGGUCCCAGGGAAGUUGGCAGGUUUUCUGGAUAACCAAAGUGAUAAAGACCAAGAUCUGGUUAUGCAGGACACCUGUAAUGGUAAUCAGGAAGAUCAGAUUAUGCAGGGAAACUUUAAUGGUAAUCACCAAGAUCAUGUUAUGCAAGAUCACCAUAAGGAUGAGCCUAUUCCUGUCAAAUGUGAGUCAGCUUCCGGUGUUAACCCUGUUUCAAAAUGUGAUUCAGCAUCCGGUGUUAAUUCUGUUGCAAGAUAUGAGUCAACACCAGAUGUUAAUCCUGAAAAGCUCAAGAAGGGCAAAGAAAAGGUAAUGCACGACCAGAGCAAUUGUGUUAGCAACACAAAAGAGGGCGAUGAUAGUAAUGAGAGUAUGGAGAGCUGCCCUAGGACAAAAGCUCCGAAGCGAGAGUAUGCUCAAUACUCAGCAGCGGAGAUGUCUUCUCGGAAUAAAAGAUAUAGAAGGGAAUACAAUGAAGGCUAUUGCUCUGGAUUGUUGAACAGAAAUGGUAGCUCUUUCUUUAACUGGAUGUCAUCUCUGACUAAUGGAUCAACCGUGUAUGAUAAAACUACCACCGCUGUUUCACUCAAUCAGAAGUUGUCAGAGGCUACUGGACAUGAACUUGCAGAACAUUCUCUGCCCCUAGAAUACAACAGCAGCAAUCGUGUGCAGUCUGUUGGCUUCAAUUCUCUAUUUCAAUCUCUUUAUAGUCAUAACGUUAUGAUAACUUCAAAAGAUACCCCUCAUCAAUCAGAAAUCAAUUGCACGGAGCGUGAGGCUUUGAAUGGUGGCAAUUCUAUGCUUCACAAGGAAAUUAGCACAGGCAGAGAAACUCUUGAUGUGGCUGUUGGGAAUUUAGCUGCUGGCAGCCUUCAAAUGGAUCCAGGUGGUGGUAAAUGGAAUCUUAGAGAUCAAAGUGGAGUUUUCCCUUUGAGAGCUGGAAGAAACUUGAAGAUGACCAACUCCAAUAAGUCAUGUUCUAAAACUCUUGAAGAACAACAAAAUGAGUGCCAUGCCAGCCCUUUGAAUGCUGCAAUGGGAAAUAAAGGUGGAACCACAGAAAGCUUGUGGGUAAGUCGGCUUUUACCAAAAACAUCAAUGAAAUUGAUGGAUGCAACUCCGUGCAAUGUAAAUAGUGAUUUUUGUGCUGUCAAUCCAAAGGGUGCAGGUGAUAAGCUGUACCCGUCGUCUCAACAGAAUAUUAAUGUGGAGAAGGAAUUCAACAGUUCGCAAUACUUUACUAGCACAGGAAGUGACAAUGAGACAACAAGUAGCAAAUGCCCGGUGAUUCCUCCAGAGGAACAUAAGCAGUCCGAAACAAUGGCUUCCAUUCUUGCAAAGAGAUUGGAUGCGCUUAGACAUGCGAAGACCUCUGCAAUUAGGUUGGCUAUCUCCAGUGGAAUAUCUAAAGACCAUAAUCAUAGAAAGAGUCCUUUUGUUAUUAAUUAUAGCAGCCAUGAUGGGCUAGAGACAGGACAGGGAACUCAAAAAUCUUCGAGUGGUGGUGGAAGGCUAGUUUUGUGGUCGGGUGACAAAGGUAAGGAACAAUUAUAUCCUCUAAGUGAUGAGGAAUUAAGAGGAAACAUGUUGAAAAGAGGUGAACAUCAGCAAUGUGGAGGGAGCAUGACUGAAAAGGCUGUAGCUCCUCAUGAUAUUUUAGAAGCAAACACGUCUGCUGAAUAUGUUGAUAGAAGAGGAGUACAAAUAAAGGAAGUGGGUUCAAAUUCCAUGGAGAGUCUGCCACAUAACAAGCAAAUUGUACCUUAUAGUAUUAUUGGAAGUGACAUUGAUCAAUCAAGUGUUGUUUUUGGAGCCUUACAAAGGCUUCGUUUGCCUCGAUCAGAUAUCAUAAGGUAUUCCACUGGAUUUUUGGGAUCACCUUUGAAUUCGUUUCAACAUUUUCUCUUUCUGCCUUCUACCUAGGCCAUGCAUGAUUGUAUUCAGGGAUGCCAUAAUGCUUUCUCUAUGUAAGAAAGGGGUACAUGUUAAUGGAGAUCUCAUUGGACUGGUGCUUGUUUUUUGUUUCUGGAACAUAGAAUUACUGGGAGAAAUUAUUUUAAUUUAACUAAGGAACACAGACAAAAUGUUCCUUGUAUUAUAAACUGAACCUAUGCCAUCUAUGUCUUGUACGACAAAUGCACCUACUUUGUACUCCCUCCGUUCCUAAAUAUAAGUCUUUUAAGAGAUUUCACUACGGACUACAUACGGAUGCAUAUAGACAUACUUCAGAGUGUAGAUUCAUUCAUUUUGCUCCGUAUGCAGUCCGUACUAGAAUCUCUAAAAAGACUUAUAUUUAGGAACAGAGGGAGUAUAUGCUAAAAGUACUAUUACCAUACAUGUACAAUAAUAUAUGUUAUGUUUAAAGUUCACUAUGCUGACUCUAAUUUUAUACUAGUUCAUACUACAACUCUAUCAGAGGGUUCUAGAGUGCUCGUUCAUCAUAUUAAUGUACGGAAGGAUAUUUCUCAGUAUUGAUGAUUUAGAAAGUUACUGAGAACUGAAGAGCUGAUGUUCUUUUUUCCUACUUUCCAUUGAUGAUCCUUGACAGAUGGUUGACGUCACCAAUACAGCACACUACCUUAGAUGGCUUUUUCUUGCGUCUACGAUUUGGUAAAUGGGAGGAAGCAUUGGGUGGCACAGGAUACCAUGUCGCUCGGAUAAAUGGUAAGUGAGUACAUAAUUAUGUCUAAUUUAUUUCUCCUCCCUGGUAUUAAAAAAAUAACGCUUAAUUUGGUGAUUGGCUACGUAAAAUGCUCAGGCUGCACUAAAGAAUCUAAAAAAAAGGACGUGGAAUAAUAAUGUAAUAUGGAAUUCUCUUGCAGGAGCACUGGAUAGGAAUCGGCUCUCUGUAACGAUCAGGAAUUCAACCUGCCAAGUAGAUUCUCGUUUUGUAUCCAACCAUGGCUUCCAUGAGGUAAUGUACGAAAGCCCGUAAUCUCAUCAAUUUUGUUAGCUAGAACAAUGUCAUGUUUUGAUUUCUCUUGCUGACCGAAGUUUUAAGUUGUAUGGCCAUUGGCCAUCACUCCACAGCAUAAUGCCAUUGAAAAUAUUAACGCAGCCUCAAUAAAAAUCAGUUUAUACUCACUUAAUGGCAGCGAACGGAUUAAGAGAAAUGCUUAGUGGGUUGUUGUCUUGUCCAUGUGGCUGCACGGGGAGAUAUGGAAUCUCGUUUUAAUGGUUUUGGUCUUGUCAGGAGCAAUCUAUUUAGAUGACAGAAUUUUAUUGUAUUUUCCAGGACGAGCUGAAGGCGUGGUGGUCUGCUUCCAUGAAGGGUGGCUGGAAACUACCGUCGAAAGAAGAACUUAGCAAGAAGCUAAGAGAAAGAGAGCUACUUCAUUUCGGAAAUGGAACAGGUCAGCCGGACAACACCUGAUGGCAGUACCCAAAACAUGGAAGAUUUCUGUCUUUGCCGCCUUUCAUCCGGAAACGCCAGCGAUGCAAGCAUGCCUGUUGGUGUUGGCUUGUCUGGUUAAAUUUUGUGCUGACACUGAUAUUCUCACGAGGCUUGGUGUUGUGAUGAUAGAUCCACCAUCCUUGGUAUAUUGAGGGAUUGAGGUUGUACUGAUACACGAUUCUAUUUUACGAUGGGAUUGACUAUUAUGUGAGAAUCCUAUCUGUAAAUAGGAAGCUACUGUGAGAAUAGUACAAAAUGUGCAACUGUUAGAUAUAACUAUACUUAGAAUAAGAGAUGGUUGUUCAUUGCUUGUCGGCCUCGUUUCGUGAGGCAUAUUGUAUGUACUUGUACUAAACACUCGGUCCGGAUCCUGUGAUCCUGUGAAGCAUGAGUUGAUCAACAAGCAUAUCGACGAUCCGAUUUUUUCAUGUGGUCUCGUGAGUUUGAUCGGGUGGUUGUUCUAUCCUGUGUGCUUUUCGAGUUACAGUUAGUGGAUCUAUUUGCAGAUCAAAGACACAGAGUAGAACAGAAAAAUUCUUUUAUCACACUAAUCUAAGUUAGGGAUGUGCUAAUUUUUCACACAUAUCUACAUCUGUGUUUUUUGUACUUGUGUCAACUUUUAUUUAAAACGUACUCCCUCUGUUCUUUUUUAUAAGACUUUUUAGACAGCUUGAUUUGUACUCCCUCCAUAAACUAAUAUAAGAGCGUUUAGAACACUAAAAUAGUGAUCUAAAUGCUUUUAUAUUAGUUUACAGAGGAAGUACUGUUUUGGACAGUGUUUGAAUGUUUAAUACUGAUCUAAAUGUUCUUAUAUUAGUUUACAGAGGAAGUACUGUUUUGAACAGUGUUUGAAUGUUUAAUACGCCUUAUAAAAGUGAACAGAGGGAGUACUUUUUCUCCAGAACACGUAAGGCUUGUGUUUUCUUUUGGCAAAUUUGCAUACACACGAAAGACAAGUAUAGGGCGGAGGCCAUAAUUUUUUGCUAGUUCUUUUUAGAAAAAAAAGGGGGGCGCACCCUGGUUUCAUUACUGCCAAAUCAAGAAAGUGAUGAUCAGGUUAUGGGAUGCAAAGACAACAGGCAUGAAAAUAUAUACUGUAUGUACUACCUUCAUCUUAAUUUAUAAGUCAUUUUUGAAAGCUAAAUUAGCCUUCACCCGCAAAAAAAAGAAGCUAAAUUAGCCUAUAAGAAUGUCUUGUAUUUUGAGAUGGAGGUAUUAGUUCAGAACAUGACGGAGUUAGUAAAAGUCACAUUUCGGCGGGGAAGCACAAACAGGUUAAGAUCAUAUACAGUUGGAACUUGUAAAUCCGAUUCCUCAAACGUCUGCGGACGCGUCCGGUCAGUGACCUGAUGUAUCCACUAUUUGUCCGUCCAUAUAGUCACAUUCCUUAUUUUUUUGUUCUCAUAUGUUGGGUCACUUACACGUGAUUGAUGAAGAGGAAGAGAUAGAAAGAAAAGAAUGGAUAAAGAAAACGAAAAAAGUAGUCAUCGGUGGGGUCGCGUUCUAUGUCACAGACUAACCGGAUACGUCCGAAGUGUCCGCGAUUUCUCAUAUCCUCCCCAUAUUUGAGACGGAUACGAGGAUUCGUGGACAGUCCGGACAUAUAGGACAAUAUGAGGGGUCCAGUUGGAUCGCCUUUUUCCUUCUAUCUCCCACCUGGUCAUGGACCGGACGCGUCCGCAAACGUAUGAGGGAUCAUUUAAAGGGUCCGGCUAUAGAUGCUCUAAGCCAUCUUUUUUUUUUAAGUUAAGCCGUCUAAAAAAGAACUUCUAGCAGAAGUGCCCUGCUACCUCUUGAGCUUGCGUUGGUUUUUCCCUUGAAGAGGAAAGGGUGAUGCAGCACAGUAGCAGUAAGUAUUUCCUUCAGUUUGAGAAUCAAUGUAUCAGUCCAGUAGGAGUAUCAAGGCAAGUUUCCAAAGUACUUGCGCAAAAACAAACAAACUUGCACCCAACGCUAUAAAGGGGUUGCCAAUCCCUUCACGAUUAAUUGCAAGGUGAGAUAUGAAGGUGGAAAGUGCAACAAAGUAAAAGUGUAGAGCUGAAAAUAUGAUGUGAAGUAGACCCGGGGGCCAUAGUGUUCACUAGAGGCUUCUCUCAUGAUAGCAAGUAUUACGGUGGGUGAACGAAUUACUGUCGAGCAAUUGAUAGAACCGCGCAAAGUCAUGACGAUAUCUAAGGCAAUGAUCAUGCAUAUAGGCAUCACGUCCGAGACAAGUAGACCGAUACUUUCUGCAUCUACUACUAUUACUCCACACAUCGACCGCUAUCCAGCAUGCAUCUAGUGUAUUGAGUUCAUAACAAACAGAGUAACGCCUUAAGCAAGAUGACAUGAUGUAGAGGGAUAAAUUCAUGCAAUAGAUAUAAACCCCAUCUUUUUACCCUUGAUGGCAGCAACACGAUGCGUGCCUCGCUACCCCUUCGGUCACUAGGUGAGGAGACCACACGGUAUGAACCCAAAACCAAGCACUUCUCCCAUUGCAAGAAUUAUAGAUCAAGUUGGACAAACGAAACCCACAACUCGAAGAGAAUUACAAGGAUAAGAAAUCAUGCAUAUAAGAGAUCAGAGGAAACUCAAAUAGCAUUCAUAGAUAAUCUGAUCAUAUUCAUCGGAUCUUGACAAACACACCGUAAAAGAAGAUUACAUCGGAUAGAUCUCCAUGAAGAUCAUGGAGAACUUUGUAUUGAAGAUCCAAGAGAGAGAAGAAGCCAUCUAGCUACUAGCUAUGGACCCGAAGGUCUGUGGUGAACUACUCACGCAUCAUCGGAGAGGCAAUGGUGUUGAUGAAGAAGCCCUCCGUGUCCAAAUCCCCCCUCCGUCAGGGCACCAGAACGUGCCCCAGAUGGGAUCUUGCGGAGACAGAAGCUUGCGGCGGCGGAAAAGUAUUUUCGUGGCUCUCUCUAACAGUUUCAGAUUUUUGGAGAAUUUAUAGGCGGAAGAAGUAGGGCAGGGGAGCCACAGGGGGCCCACAAGCCUGCUAGGCCCGCUCCCCUAGGCCGGGCCUGGGUGGCUUGUGACCUCCUCCGAGGUCCCCUGCCUUGGUUCUCAAGUUUCCUGCGUGUCUUCUGUUAUGGAAAAAAUCAUUCCGCAGGUUUUAUUCCGUUUGGACUCCGUUUAAUAUUGUACUCUGAAAAAGGUCAAAAACACAGAAAAACAGGAACUGGCACUUGGCACUGAGUUAAUAGGUUAGUCCUAAAAAAAUAUAAAAUAGCAUAUUCAUGCAUACAAAACAUCCAAAGUUGACAAGAUAAUAGCAUGGAACCAUAAAAAAUUAUAGAUACGUUGGAGACGUAUCAAGCAUCCCCAAGCUUAACUCCUGCUCGUCCUCGAGUAGGGAAGUGAUAAAUAUUGAAUUUUUGAUGUGGAAUGCUACCUAACAUAUUUGUCCUUUGUAACUUCUUUCUUGUGGCAUGAAUGUUCAGAUCCGUAAGAUUCAAAACAAUAGUUUACAAUUGACAUGAAAACAAUAAUACUUCAAGCAAACUAGCAAAGUGAUCAUGAACUUUUGAAAUAACAAGGCCAAAGAAAGUUAUCCCUACAAAAUCAUAUAGUCUGGCUAUGCUCCAUCAUCCCCACACAACGAAUUUAAAUCAUGCACAACCCCGGUAUUAGUCAAGUAAUUGUUUUCGCACUCUUACUUUCUCAAACUUUUUCAACUCUCACGCAAUACAUGAGCGUGAGCCAUGGAUAUAGUGUUGAAAAUAUGCCCUAGAGGCAAUGAUAAAUAGUUAUUAUUAUAUUUCCUAUUUAAAGAUAAUCGUUUAUUAUCCAUGCUAUAAUUGUAUUGAAUGAAAACAUAGAUACAUGUGUGGAUAAAUAGACACAACAAUGUCCCUAGCAAGCCUCUAGUUAGCUAGCCAGUUGAUCAAGGAUAGUCAAGGUUUUCUGACUAUGUGCAAAGAGUUGUUGCUUGAUAACUGGAUCACAUCAUUAGGAGAAUCAUGUGAUGGACUAGACCCAAAAUAUGAACGUAGCAUAUUGAUCGUGUCAUUUUAUUGCUAUUGUUUUCUGCAUGUCAAGUAUUUGUUCCUAUGACCAUGAGAUCAUAUAAUCCACUGGCAUCGGAGGAAUGCCUUGUGUGCAUCAAACGUCACAACGUAACUGGGUGACUAUAAAGGUGCUCUACAGGUAUCUCCGAAGGUGUCCGUUGGGUUAGUAUGGAUCAAGACUGGGAUUUGUCGGUCCGUGUGACGGAGAGGUAUCUCGGGGCCCACUCGGUAAUACAACAUCACACACAAGCCUUGCAAGCAAUGUGACUAAGUGUAAGUCAUGGGAUCUUGUAUUACGGGACGAGAAAAGAGACUUGCCGGUAACGAGAUUGAAAUAGGUAUGCGGAUACCGACGAUCGAAUCUCGGGCAAGUAACAUACCGAAGGACAAAGGGAAUGAUAUACGGGAUUGCCUGAAUCCUUGACACUGAGGUUCAACCGAUAAGUUAUUCGGAGAAUAUGUAGGAUCCAAUAUGGGCAUCCAGGUCCCGCUAUUGGAUAUUGACCGAGGAGUACAUCGGGGCAUGUCUGCAUAGUUCUCGAAUCCGCAGGGUCUUCACACUUAAGGUUCGACGAUGUUUUAGUAUAGUUGAGUUAUAUAUGUGGUUACCGAAUGUUGUUCGGAGUCCCAGAUGAGAUCACGGACGUCACGAGGGUUUCCAGAAUGGUCCGGAGACGAAGAUUGAUAUAUAGGAUGACCUCAUUUGAUUACCGGAAAGUUUUCGGGCAUUACCGGGAAUGGUCCGGAGACGAAGAUUGAUAUAUAUAGGAUGACCUCAUUUGAUUACCGAAAUUUUUUCGGCAUUACCGGGAAUGUACCAGGAGUGACGAAUGGGUUUCGGAUGUUCACCGGGAGGGCCAGCCCACCUGGGGGAAGCCCAUAGGCCUUAGGGGUGCCGAACCAGCCCUUAGCGGGCUGGUGGGACAUCCCAAGAGUCCCUAUGCACAGGAGAGAAGAAAUCAAAGGAAAAAAAGGAAAGGUGGGAAAGAAGGGAAGGACUCCACCUUCCAAUCCUAGUUGGACUAGGAUUGGAGGUGGACUCCUCCACCUCCUUGGCCGGCGGGCUCUUGGGGUCUUGGACCCCAAGGCAAGUCUCCCCACCCCUCCUCCUAUAUAUAGUGAAGGUCUAGGGCUGAUUUGAGACAACUUUGCCACGGCAGCCCGACCACAAAACAUCACGGUUUUUCCUCUAGAUCGUAUUUCUGCGGAGCUCGGGCGGAGCCCUGCAGGAGUAGAUCCUUCACCACCACCGGAGCGCCGUCACGCUGCCGGAGAACUCAUCUACUUCUCCGUCUUGCUUUCUGGAUCAAGAAGGCCGAGAUCAUCGUCAAUCUGUACGUGUGCUGAACGCGGAGGUGCCGUCCGUUCGGCACUAGAUCGGAGCGGAUCGUGGGACGAAUCGCGGGACGGUUCGUGGGACAGUUCGCGGGGCAGAUCGAGGGACGUGAGGACGUACCACUACAUUAACCGCGUUUCUUAACGCUUCCUUUUGUGCGAUCUACAGGGAUACGUAGAUCCAAAUCUCCUCUCAUAGAUGGACAUCACCAUGAUAGGUCUUCGUGCGCGUAGGAAAUUUUUUGUUUCCCAUGCGACGUUCCCCAACAUAUAGCACUAUAGGUGGAAUAGAGUGUGGUGGAGGUUGUGAGGCAAAAAGGAGGAGAUGGUCACAUUGACUUGGCGUAUUAAUGAGCUAUGGAGAUGCCCAUCAAUAGAUAUCAAUGUGAAUGAGUAGGGAUUACCAUGCAACGGAUGCACGAGAGCUAUAAGUGUGUGAAAGCUCAAAAAGGAGAACUAGUGGGUGUGCACCCAUCUUGCUUGCUCACGAAGACCUAGGGCAAUUUUGAGGAAGCCCGUCAUUAGAAUAUACAAGCCAAGUUAUAUAAUGAAGAUUCCCACUAGUAUAUGGAAGUGUCAAAACAAGAGACUCUCUAUCAUGAAGAACAUGGUGCUAUUUUGAAGCACAAGUGUGGAAAAAGAUAUUAGCAUUGUCCCUUUUCUCUUUUUCUCUCUCUUUUUUUGUUUGGGCUCUUUGGCCUUUUUUCAAAAAAAAUUGGUGGGCAUCUUUGGCCUAUUUUUUUAUUUCCUCACAUGGGACAAUGCUCUAAUAAUGAUGAUCAUCACACUUUUAUUUACUCACAACUCAAUACUUAGAACAAUGAUGACUCUAUAGGAAAUGCCUCCGGGAGUGUACCGGGAUGUGCAACGAUCUAGCUUAGCGUAUGACGUUGAAACAUCUUGCUAGCCAUCUAACGAUCAUGCAAAGGCAAUAUGAAAGUGACGGCACAAGUCAUGAGACGGAACGGUGGAUUUGCAUGGCAAUAUAUCUCGGAAUGGCUAUGAAAAUGCCAUAAUAGGUAGGUAUGGUGGCUGUUUUGAGGAAGGUAUAUGGUGGGUUUGUGCACCGGCGAAAGUUGCGCGGCACUAGAGAGGCUAGCAAUGGUGCAAGGUGAAAGUGCAUCUAUACCAUGGACUCACAUUAGUCAUGAAGAACUCAUAUACUUAUUGUGAAAGUUUUAUUAGUAAUUGAAACAAAGUGCUAAACGCAUACUCCUAGGGGAAGGGUUGGUAGGUGUAAAUCAUCGCGCGAUCCUGACCGCCACACAAAGGAUGACAAUCAAUAAACCAGUUAUGCUCCGACUUCCUAACAUAGCGGUUCACCAUACGUGCAUGCUACGGGAAUCACUAACUUCAACACAAGUAUUUCUAGAUUCACAACACCCUACUAACGUAACUCUAAUAUUACCAAAUCCAUAUCUCAGAACUUAAUUGUUAGGAAUCAAACUUCUCUUACUAAUCAAUGCACUUGAAUAUGGAAGUUUUUAUUAUAUCCUCUUUGGAUGCCUAUCAUCUUUAGGACUACUUUCAUAGCACGCGCCAAUUACCAAGUUACUAAGAGAGAGCACUCUCAAAAAGAUAUAAGUGAAGAUCGAGAGUUUUUAUUUCUACAAAAUAUGACACCGUCAUGCUCUAAAAAUAUUUAAGUGAAGCACUAGAGCAAAAUUAUCUAGCUCAAAAGAUAUAAGUGAACCUCAUGGGAGCAAAAUUGCCUAACUCAAAAGAUAUAAGUGAAGCUUAAUGAGUAUUCUAGCAAAUUCACGAUGAGUGCAUGUGCCUCUCAAAAAGUUGUGCAGCAAGGAUGAUUGUGACAAAAAAAGAAACGACUCCUAUAAUACACGACGCUCCAAGCAAAACACAAAUCAUGUGGUGAAUAAAAAUAUAGCUCCAAGUAACGUUACCGAUGGAUUGAAGACGAAAGAGGGGAUGCCUUCCCGGGGCAUCCCGAAGCUUAGGAUUUUUGGUGUCCUUGAAUUUGGCUUGGUAUGCCUUGGGCAUCCCCAAGCUUAAGCUCUCUCCACUCUUUAUCCCAUUGUCCAUGAGAACAUCACCCAAAACUUGAAAACUUCACAACACAAAACUUAAAUAGAAACUCGUGAUAUCAUUAGCAUAAGAAAACAAACACCACCUCUUUAGGUACUGUAGUAAUCUUGAUUUCUAUUUAUAUUGGUGUUAUAUUACUGUAUUCUCACUUUUCCAUGGCUAGUACCCCCCGAUACUAUCCAUAGUUUCAUCAAAAUAAGCAAUCAACACAACAAAAACAGAAUCUGUCAAAAACAGACCAGUCUGUAGAAAUCUGUAUACUUCGUAUACCUAUGGUAUCCCAAAAUUCUUCAAAAUUAUUACAAUUAGGGAAAUUGUCAUAUAAACCAGAAGCAAAAAGAAUCAACUGAAAAGCUUUUUCUGGAUAGGAAUUAAAAAUAAUUUCGUGAGCACAAAGUUUCUGUCUUUUUCAGCAUGAUCAAACAACCAUCACCAAAACUGAUCAUAAAGGUUCUACUUGGCACAAACACUAAAAGAAACAAAAAAACACAAUCAUAACAGAAUUAUGAUGGUGUGGACACAGCAAAACAGAAAGCAAAAAAGCAAAAAUAAAUUCAUUGGGUUGCCUCCCAACAAGCGCUAUUGUUUAACGCCCUUAGCUAGGCAUUGAUAAUUCAAUGAUGCUCACAUAGAAGACAGCAAUCAGACACGAAGAGAGCAUCAUGAAACAUGUGACAAACAUAUCUAAGUCUAACAUACUUCCUAUGCAUAGGCAUUUUAUAGGGAAACAAAUUAUCAAGACAAGCAAUAACUACCAUAUGCAAGGAAGAAGAAAGAGACAGUAUCAAUCUCAACAAAAAGAGAGGUAAUUUAGUGAUAUGAAAAUUUCUACAACCAUAUUUUCCUCUCUCAUAAUAAUUACAUGUGGGAUCAUAUUAAAAUUCAACAAUAUAACUAUCACAUAGGAUAUUCUUUUCAUGAUCCACAUGCAUGGAAAGUUGACGCUCUUAAAAAAUAGUGGGAUUAUCAUCAACUAAAGUCAUGACUUCUCCAAACCCACUUUCAAUCUUAUUGCAAACAUUAUUAUCAAUAUCAUAUUCAUCAUGAGGCUUAAACAAAAUUUCAAGAUCGUAAGAAAAAUCAUCACCCCAAUCAUGAUCAUUGCAACAAGUAGUGAACAUAGCAAAACUGCAUCCCCAAGCUUAGAGUUUUGCAUAUUUUUAGCAUGAUUGACAUUAAUAGAAUUCAUAGUGAAACCAUUGCAAUCAUGCUUUUCAUUCAAGGAGCCCUCGUGAAUCACUUCAUAAAUUUCUUCAUCACGAUUUUCAGAUUCACACAUCUCAAGCAAAACUCCAUAGAGAAAGUCAAGUGCACUCAACUCACUAGCAAAUGGUUCAACAUAAUUGGAUCUCUUAAAGAGAUUAGCAAGUGGAUGAGGAUCCAUAUCAAUAGAUUUUCAGCAAGCGAAGAUGCAAGCAUAUUGAAGGCACAUAACACACAAGCAAAGGAAAGGCAAACGAAAAAGGCAAAUGUUUUUGUAAAUUUUUGUUUUUCAGAAGUGGGGGAGAGGAAAACGAGAGGCAAAAGGCAAAAAAAGUAAAUGCAAGAGAUGAGUUUGUGAUAGUUACUUGGAUAAGCUUCACUUAGAAUAGUCCCCGGAGCCAGAAAUUGACACGUUGACGGGAGACUAUUCUUGACUUGAUACUCCCCGGCAACGACGCCAGAAAUUCUUCUUGCUACCUCUUGAGCUUGCGUUGGUUUUUCCCUUGAAGAGGAAAGGGUCAUGCAGCACAGUAGCAGUAAGUAUUUCCCUCAGUUUAAGAACCAAGGUAUCAAUCCAGUAGGAGUAUCAAGGCAAGUCUCCAAAGUUCCUGCGCAAAAACAAACAAACUUGCACCCAACGCUAUAAAGGGGUUGUCAAUCCCUUCACGAUUAAUUGCAAGGUGAGAUAUGAAGGUGGAAAGUGCAACAAAGUCAAAGUGUAGAGCUGAAAAUAUGAUGUGAACUAGACCCGGGGGCCAUAGUGUUCACUAGAGGCUUCUCUCAUGAUAGCAAGUAUUACGGUGGGUGAACGAAUUACUGUCGAGCAAUUGAUAGAACCGCGCAAAGUCAUGACGAUAUCUAAGGCAAUGAUCAUACAUAUAGGCAUCACGUCCGAGACAAGUAGACCGAUACUUUCUGCGUCUACUACUAUUACUCCACACAUCGACCGCUAUCCAGCAUGCAUCUAGUGUAUUGAGUUCAUAAAAAACAGAGUAACGCCUUAAGCAAGAUGACAUGAUGUUGAGGGAUAAAUUCAUGCAAUAGAUAUAAACCCCAUCUUUUUACCCUUGAUGGCAACAACAUGAUGCGUGCCUCUCUACCCCUUCUGUCACUGGGUGAGGACACCGCACGGUAUGAACCCAAAACCAAGCACUUCUCCUAUUGCAAGAAUUAUAGAUCAAGUUGGCCAAAGGAAACCCACAACUCGAAGAGAAUUACAAGGAUACAAAAUCAUGCAUAUAAGAGAUCAGAGGAAACUCAAAUAACAUUCAUAGAUAAUCUGAUCAUAAAUCCACAAUUCAUCGGGUCUCGACAAACACACCGCAAAAGAAGAUUACAUUGGAUAGAUAUCCAUGAAGAUCAUGGAGAACUUUGUAUUGACGAUCCAAGAGAGAGAAGAAGCCAUCUAGCUACUAGCUAUGGACCCGAAGGUCUGUGGUGAACUACUCACGCAUCAUCGGAGAGGCAAUGGUGUUGAUGAAGAAGCCCUCCGUGUCCGAAUCCCCCCUCCGACAGGGCACCAGAACGUGCCCAGAUGGGAUCUUGCGGAGAGAGAAGCUUGUGGCGGCAGAAAAGCAUUUUCGUGGCUCUCUCUCGCAGUUUCACAUUUUUCGAGAAUUUAUAGGCGGAAGAAGUAGGGCAGGGGAGCCAUAGGGGGCCCACAAGCCUGCUAGGCCCGCCCCCCUAGGCCGGGCCUGGGUGGCUUGUGACCUCCUCCGAGGUCCCCUGCCUUGGUUCUCAAGUUUCCCGCGUGUCUUUUGUUAUGGAAAAAAUCAUUCCACAGGUUUUAUUUCGUUUGGAUUUCGUUUAAUAUUCUCCUCUAAAAAGGUCGAAAACACGGAAAAAACAGGAACUGGCACUUGGCAAUGAGUUAAUAGGUUAGUCCCAAAAAAGAUAUAAAAUAGCAUAUUCAUGCAUACAAAACAUCCAAAGUUGACAAGAUAAUAGCAUGGAACCAUCAAAAAUUAUAGAUACGUUGGAGACGUAUCAUGCCCAAAGGUUCUGCACCAGUGUUCAAGGUAGACCGAGGCAUGGGUUCUCCUGGGUUCAGGAUGUAAGUGGGUGAUACGUCCACAAUGCAUCACAAUUUUGUAUCAUAAUUUGUCUCUAUUCAUUGAUAUAUUUCACAAUAUGAUGAUAUACUUAUAGUGUUUUGGCUUUUUUUACACAGUUUACAACUUUCUGGUGCCAAAACAGUAGACGCAGGAUUCAACGGAGAAAAUAGCAUGAAGAGUUACCAUAUCAGAACAUCUCCAACUGUGCUGAAAUUUACGGGGAAGGAGUUUCCGAAUAGACCAUGAAGACAGGCCGAAGAAGGGCCGGAGGGGGUCCACACGGCACACAUGCGACCUGCUGGCGCGUGUCACGCCUAAGCCACGCCCAGAGGCCGCCUGGGUGGUGGGUCCCGCCUCCAAUGCUCUCCUUUGGCCUAUAUGAUCCUCGUGAGCUAAAAGUUACGGGGACAUAAGUUUUUUGGAGUUCCACCGCCGCUCCGGGGCGGAAACCUAAAGAGAAGAAAGGACCUUUCCGGCGGGCAAAUUCCGCCUGGGAGAACUCCUCCCGGAAGGGGAGAUCGUCCUCAUCGUCAUCACCAUCGUCACGGGAAUCAUCGAGAUCAGCAUCAUCGCCAGCACCAUCUCCAUCUUCACCCCAUCUCACUUUACCAUUGCAAUCGGAGUUGUACCUUGCACUAUUCAUCCCCUCUACUCUACCAGUGUUGAUUACUCUUUUUUGGUAUUUUGUUUUGUUGGAGAAUUAUUGUUAUGACCAGAUUGUUCAUCAUAUUUUCAUCACCUCUCAUCAUGAUCUCUUUUAUGUCUUGUGAGUAGUUACUUUAGUUCUUGAGGACAUGGGAGAAGUCUAGUUGCUAGUACUCAUAUGAUGUUGAAGUAAUAUGUGUUGAUUGAUAUUUAAGUUAUGGUGUUAUUCUUCUAGUGGUGUUAUGUGAACGUCGACUACAUAACACUUCGCCUUUUUAAGGACCUAGGGGAGUGCCUCGUGUAUAAAGAAUGUUUAUGGUGGGUUGCCGGAGUGACAGAAACCUGAACCCCAGUUCGCAUACUUUUGCACGAGGGAGUAUUGGAUCCUAAAGCUUAUUGCUAUGGUUAGGCUUUGCUUUAAUUUCUCUCUUGUAUUUGCGGACGCUUGCAAGGGGGAUUAAUCGUAAGAGUGUACUUGUCUUAGCCUAGACGAUGCACUAGUUAAGAUCCACCCACAUAACACUUAUCAAUAUAAAACAUAGUACUAGACAGAAUAUGGCGAAAGCACUUGACUAUCUCUCCCGUGUGUCCUCAGGAACGCCUUAGUCUUUAUAAGUUUAGUCCCUCGGCUUAUCCUUUGUGUUCAAAAGGAUUUCGCCACUUGUUGCACCUCGACACCAUUUACUUUCCUUGCAUUUAUUUCCUUGUUGCUUAUACUAGAAAACGCAUAAAAAGUUACAUUUCAGUACUUGGAGUUAUUCUUUGCUCAAGAUCGCUUGUCAGUACCUUCUGCUCCUCGUUGGGUUCGACACUCUUACUUAUUAAAAAUGCUACAAUAGAUCCCCUACACUUGUGGGUCAUCAAGACCAUUUUCUGGCACCUUUGCCGGGGAGUGUAGCGCUAUUCAUAAGGAAACCUUUACGUUGUAUGUGCUGUUUUUAUUUUACCGUUUCCGCUUUUUUUCCCUAUGGACAACUCUGCUCUUGGUUUGUUGCUUGUGGGGAACCGCCCCAAAGCUAUUGUGGUGGAGAAGCCUCCCCCACCUACUGAAAUUGUGCCCUUUAAAAUACCAACUGGUAUUAUUGAUUGUGUCUUGGCUAAUCGAUAUGCAGGAGAUAGACAUCCAGGUGAACACUUGCUAUAUCUUUCACAACUAUGCUCCUUAUUUAAGCUUGCAGGUAUAUCGAUGGAUUUUGUUAUGAGAAAGCUAUUCUCUCUAUCAUUAAAAUAUAAGGCUUUGGAUUGGUAUAGGCUUCUUGAUAACUCUCAUUUACUAAAUUGGAAAGAUCUUAUGCCUCUCUUUUAUGCAAAGUUUUUCCUCUUCAUGAAAAACAUCGAGACAGGAACUACAUUUAUAACUUUUGGUCUCGUGACGGAGAAAGCAUCGCUCAAGCUUGGGGGAUAUUGAAGUCCCUAAUGCUCAAAUGUCCCAAUCAUGAGCUCUCCAAGGAAAUUAUUCUUACAAAUUUUUAUGCAAGCCUUUCUCAUCAAGAUAAAGAGAUGCUUGAUGCCUCCUCUAGUGGGGCAUUCUCUAAAAAAAGCAUUGAAGCUAGGUGGGAUCUUAUUGAAAGGAUCCAGAAGAACACUGAAGAUUGGGAGAUUGAUAAAGGUAUUGAAACCGUUAUAAAUUAUGAGCAUGAUUACAUUGAGAGCUAUGUGAAAACUGAUUACUUCAAUACCUUUUGUGCUAAGAUUGGUCUUGAUUCCCAGCUUCUAAUUGAUUUUUUGCAAAGACUUUGCCUCUCAUAUCGAUUCUUCUAAAAAGAGGGAGGAUCAACACCAUAAACCUUGUAAGGAAGUACCUGUUGAUAUCAAUGUUGUUGACCCUAUCUUGCCCGUAGUUUUAUAUGAAACCCCCCUUUUCCCACAAGGACGAGGGAGCAUUCUGUUGUCACAUGCAUACUGAAUAAAAGUGAAAGAACGAGUGAUGAGCAUGAGGACCUGAUUAAGGUCGAUCCUCAAGUUGCAUUAGUCAAGGAUCUUGCUACUAGUAAUAUUGAGGAUUCCAAUAUAAAUUUUGUGUUGUUUUUACUAACCUUGUUACAGCCAAGAAUAAAGGCCCAAUUUCAGGUACUCCAGUUGUAUCUGUUAAAAUAGGAGAUCAUAAUUAUUACGGGCUAUGUGAUUUGGGAUCCAGUGCUAGUGCCAUUCCUUUUCCACUUUAUCAAGAGAUCAUGAAUGAGAUUCUACCAUGUGAAAUUGAAGACGUUGAUGUUACUAUUCAUCUUGCAAACACAUAAACUAUCUCUCCUAUUGGAAUUGUGCGAGAUGUUGAAGUUAUAUGUGGAAAGGUAAAAUAUCCUACCGACUUUCUAGUACUUGGUUCAGUGCAAGAUAGUUUUUGCCCUAUUAUCUUUGGUAGGCCUUUUCUCAAAACUUGUGGAGCUAUUAUUGAUUGCAGGAAAGGAAAAGUACCUGUUGAAUUUAAUGGUGAGCCAUAUGAAUUUAACUUUUCUAAAUUCUCGAAGCAAACUCGUGGUACUGAUUUGCCUAGUAAUGAUAAAAUUAUUUAAGAGAUUGCUUCUAUUGCUAUUCCUCCUAACGAUCCUUUGCAGCAAUUUAUGGAGGACCACGAGAAUGAUAUGCAUAUGCAGGAAAGAAAUGAGCUAGAUGACAUGUUCUUGAGACAACCUGCUAUCCUGAAGCACAACCUUCCGGUUGAGCCUUUUUGGGAAUUCUAUCAAAACAAAAAGAAGACCCGGUGUUUGAUCUUAAACCUCUUCCCAAUAUGCUCAAGUAUGCUUAUUUAGAUGAAAAGAAAGUAUAUCAUGUUAUUAUCAAUGCUAAACUUUCAGGAUAUGAAGAAGAGCGAUAAUUGGAAGUCCUUCAUAAACACCGAGGCGCUAUUGGCUAUACCCUUGAUGAUCUUAAGAGGAUUAGUCCAUCUAUUUGUCAGCAUACUAUCGAUCUUGAGCCUGAUGCUAAAUCGGUUGCUGAUCAUCAACGACGGUUGAACCCGAAGAUGAAGGAUGUUGUGAGGACCGAAAUCCUCAAGCUUCUAGCCGCAUGUAUUAUCUACCCUAUAGCUGAUAGUAAGUGGGUAAGUCCAGUACAUUGUGUUCCCAAGAAAGGAGGUACGACUGUGGUUCCUAAUGAUAAGAAUGAACUAAUACCUCAAAGAAUUAUUAUUGGAUAUAGAAUGUGUACUGAUUACAGGAAGCUGAACAAAGCAACCAGGAAGGAUCACUACUCGUUGUCGUUCAUCGACCAAAUGCUUGAAAGGUUAUCCAAAACACUCACUUUUGCUUUCUUGAUGGGUAUUCUGGCUUCUCUCAAAUUCAUGUUAACACUGCCGAUCAAGAGAAGACCACUUUUACUUGUCCCUUUGGUACUUAUGCUUAUAGACGUAUGCCUUUUGGUUUAUGCAAUCUCCUGCUAAUUUUCAAAGGUGUAUGUCUGCUAUCUUUCAUGGUUUUUGUGAGGAAAUUGUGGAGGUCUUCAUGGACGAUUUCUUCGUCUAUGGAACCUCUUUUGACCAUUGUCUCCACAACCUUAAUAAUUUUUUGCAGAGAUGUGAGGAGACGAACUUGGUACUCAACUAGGAGUAGUGCCACUUCAUGGUCAAUGAUGGAAUUGUUCUUGGCCACAAGAUUUUUGAAAAGGGAAUCGAGGUGGACAGGGCAAAGUUCGAAGCAAUCGAGAGGAUGCCUUAUCCAAAGGACAUCAGAGGUAUUCGUAGUUUCCUCGGUCAUGCUGGUUUUUAUAGAAGAUUUAUUAAAGACUUUUCUAAGACUUAGAAACCCCUCACUAAUCUUCUCCAGAAGGAUAUUCCUUUUGUGUUUGAUGAAUAUUGUAAGGAAGCCUUCGAAGUUCUUAAGAAAGCCUUGAUAACCGCCCCUAUAGUCCAACCACCUGAUUGGAAUUUGCCUUUUGAAAUCAUGUGUGAUGUUAGUGAUUUUGUUGUUGCGGCUGUGUUAGUACAAAGGGUUGAUAAUAAAUUGAAUGUUAUACAUUAUGAUAGCAAAACCCUUGAUAGUGCUUAGAAGAAUUACUCCACUACCGAGAAAGAAUUUUUAGCGGUAGUGUGUGCUUGUGGUAAGUUUAGGCCUUACAUUGUUGAUUCUAAAGUCAUCAUUCAUACUGAUCAUGCUACUGUUAAGUAUCUUAUGGAAAAGAAGAAUGCCAAACCAAGGCUUAUCAGAUGGGUCCUUCUUCUUCAAGAAUUUGAUUUGCAGAUUGUUGAUAGAAAGGGAGCAGAGAACCCUGUAGCAGAUAGCCUUUCCAGGAUGGAGGACAUACCACAUGAUCCUAUUUCGGUCAAAGAUAGUUUUCCUGAUGAACAGUUAGCUGUUUUGAAAGUACAAUCUAAUUCCGAUCCAUGGUAUGCAGAUUAUGCUAACUUUAUUGUUGCAAGGUUUUUUCCUCCAGGUUUAACAUUCCAGCAGAGGAAAAAGUUUUUCCACGACUUUAGGUAUUAGUUUUGGGAUGACCCACAUAUUUUUAGAGAAGGUGCGAAUGGGAUCGUGAGGAGCUGCAUACCGGAGCAUGAGCAGAAGGAUAUCUUGAGACAAUGUCAUAACAUUCCUUAUGGAGGACAUCAUGCUGGUGAGAGGACCGCACACAAGGUUCUCCAGUCAGUUUUUUAUUGGCCUACUCUCUCUAAAGACGCUAGAAAAUAUGUUUUAUCUUGUGAUAAAUGCCAGAGAGUUGGUAAUAUUAGUAGGAGAAAUGAGAUGUCUAUGAAUUAUUCUCUAGUCAUUGAGCCUUUUGAUUGUUGGGGUUUUGAUUUUAUGGGUCCUUUUACUCCUUCACACAAGUACACUCACAUCUUAGUGGCUGUUGAUUAUGUGACCAAGUGGGUUGAAGCAAUCCCCACUGAAAGUGCUGAUCACAAGACAUCUUUGAAAAUGCUCAAGGAUGUACCUAGGUUUGGUGUACCUAGGUACCUCAUGACCGACGGAGGAUCUCAUUUUACACAUGGUGCUUUUAGAAAAGCCCUAGACAAAUAUGAUGUUAAUCAUAGAAUUGCUUCACCUUACCAUCCUCAAACAAGUGGGAAAGUUGAGCUCACAAAUAGAGAGAUCAAGUUGAUCUUGCAAAAGACAGUGAACAGUUCUAGAAAGGACUGGUCCAAAAAGUUAGGAGAUGCCUUGUGGAUGUAUAGAACUGCUUACAACCAUGGGGAUGUCUCCGUAUAAGAUGGUCUAUGGCAAGGCAUGCCAUCUAGCUUUAGAGUUAGAGCACAAAGCUUUCUGGGUUGUUAGAGAGCUUAAUGCUGACCCAAAGCUUGCUGCUGAAAAGCGUCUGAUGAACUUGACUUCUCUAGACGAGUGGAGAAGUGAAGCUUACGAGAGCGCAAAAAUGUUCAAAGAAAAGGUAAAGAAGGGGCAUGACAAGAGAAUUUUGAAACGUGAAUUUAAUGUUGGUGAUAAUGUUUUGUUGUAUAGAUCUCGUUUUAGGUUUUCUCCAGGUAAAUUACUUUCCAAGUGGGAAGGACCGUACCAUAUCAAAGAAGUCUACCGCUCUGGUGCAAUCAAGAUUAAUAAUUUUGAAGGCACAAAACCAUAUGUUGUGAAUGGGCAAAGACUCAAGCAUUACAUGGCUGGAUACCCCAUCAAUGUAGAGGUGGAUGUGAUACAGGUAGGCACUCAUGAAGAACAUAUUGCAACACUGUAUCAGACACCGGCAGAAGCAGAAUAAGAAUAGGUAUGAAAUACAGCAAGGAAACUUUGCGAACAUCAAUAAAAGUUUCGUAUUAUGUGUUUUUGCAAAAUUAGGAAAAUUCCGAGCUGAACUGGAGCCGGAGAGGAGCUCCAGGUGCUCCAGGCGACCUGGUGGCACGAGCUACCUCCUGGCCGCACCAGGAGGCCGUCUGGACCACCCGGAGCCCGUCUCCGACCCCACUUUGGCUUGUUACCUUCCUUUUGAUGCAGAAAUUUUUGCUAUAUAUUUUCCCGAAUCGUCCCGGCUUUGUAUCUUGCGAUUUCGUGCGUUUUCUCUUUCGAUCUUUUCUGCCAGGCUAAGAAGCUAUUGUUCGAGAUGUCUUCUUGCGACUCAAGCAGGGAAGACUACACGGGUCGUCGUCUCCGCCAUGUCCAGCAAGAUAUCAACCAAGGGAAGGUUACCGGAUGGGCUACUAAUGAAGAAAUUAAUGCAAGACAAGCGGAGAUGGAGCGCUCCGUGAGAGAGGAAGUCAAGAUGGUCACCACCUAGCAAGAAGGAGAUACUUCAUCACGAGGAUCCAGCUCCAACAACCCCAUCCUCGUGGUUUUUAUUAACCAUGUACAUGAUCUUUCUCUGAACCUUUCAGGAACUAUCCCUCCAUCGGGAGCUCCACCUGUGUCAUCUGCUAUAUCCAAAGCUUACGGAAUCACUAACCAAUUCUGUGAAGACUUCCGUGUGCUUAAAGUACAGGUGGCCAUAUUGGAAGCUGAAAACCAAACCCUUCAGCGCAUAAUAACGGGCUUGAAGAACAACAAGUAGGAUGUAGAGUGAAAUCUUCAUGGAUAAUGGCAUUCCCUUAGCUUGUUCCAAGCUUGGGGGAGUGCCAGGUAUCUUUAUUUUUAUCCUUUAUCUUUUAUGGUCAAGUUUAGUGUCGUAUCAUGUCUAGGGAAGUUAUCUUAUGAAAUAGGUGUUUGCAUUGAGGUCUAUCACUCCUUUGUGGAGAGUUUUGUAUCCGUGAGUGUGGAGUUGUCUAUGAUGGAAUAUUAAUGAGAAGUCUAUUGGUUUCUUUGUUGCACCUGGUAUUCUCUUCAUGCAAUCGACCUUAUAUGCUGAUUCUUAUGGGAGUAUUGAUCUUACAUAUCAGGUAUGGCUUUGAAAACUUUGUUUAAUAUUGGCAAACAUAGCAUUGGUCAUAACAACAAGCAUGAGUCUUUCUAGUAGCGACAUAGCCAAAACCUUUAUGUUCUUAUGCUUGAAGUGUUAUGCUGAUGAGGAAGACAACUUGAUGUUUCAUGCCAAUUCUUUAUGUUAAACCUUAUAUUGUUUUGCAUCCAAGUCAACAUCAUUUGUCUGCUCUCAAAAGCCUUUGCUAGCCAACCCUUGUACUAAGAAAAAAUACUGCUUGUGCAUCCAUACCUUAAAAACUCAACCUUCCCAAGAGUCCACCAUACCUUCCCUUUAUGUGGUAUUUCACCGCCACUCCUAAAGUAUAUUACUCAUGUGCUAUCUUUAAACCUUCAAAUAUUACUCCCUGUUUUGUGCCUCUGUUUUAGCUCAUGAGGAAGUAGUAGAUAAUUCAUGAUCUUCUCAUACUGGACAAGCUUUAUCCUGGGUUUGCAUGUUUAAUCUGCGAACCCCUAAUACAAGGAGGGACUGACAUGAGUGCGCCCAACUCAUAAAAGAUAAUAACAACAAACAAAACCUCCUUCGCGCUUUGUUGAUGAGAAAUUGGAAAACUUUGGUAGUGAUAAACAAAGGAGACUAAGGGGAUGUGAUCGUCCCCACUUUGGGAGUCGUUCCUCAAAACUUGUCCAGCAUGAGAAGUAUUGGGCUAUUUGCUAGCAUUCGUUGACAAAUUAUGUACCUCUCAAAAGCUUGUUUUACAAUCUUGUUGAUUUCAAAAUCUCUAAAAGCUCUAGCACAUGAGUUAUUUCCCUACUUCCCUCUAUGAAGGGCUAAUCUUUUACUUUUAUGUUGAGUCAGUAAACCUACUUCUUUCUAUCCUUUAAAAGAGCAGACACCUUAUGUUGACAAAAAUGCAUGCAUUUAUAUUGUCUCAUUGAUAAUUGCCAUAUCACAUCUUUGUUGACAAUAUCAUUAAGAUGAGUAAGUUGUUUGUUAAGCCUAGGUAAAGCAAACAUCUUCCUUUGUGUUAGCAUUUUCACUUCUUGACUAAUAACAUCUUCUUUCAAAAAAAGAGCUUCAAUUGAUCUCAUCAAAAUAUAAGAGGAAGAACAAAAGUUAAAAGUUAUUAGUUGUUCUUUGACCAAGGACAUGUUUGCCAUGGUUUGAUGAGUUUCCUUAGCCAUACUUUUGAUUGUAAUUGAUAUUACUAUUUCAUAUGGGCCUUAUGAGUUGAGAUUUUUGUUGGGGAUGGUUGAGUUUAGUAGAGAAAUUAGGUUGCUUCUUGUCUGUAUUAUUAUUUAUCAACACUUCACUCUCUAAACUUGUGGACAGGUUUACCGAGUUCAGUAUUCGCUUGGGGACAAGCGAGGUCUAAGCUUGGGGGAGUUGAUACGUCCAAAAUGCAUCACUAUUUUGUAUCAUAAUUUGUCUCUAUUCAUUGAUAUAUUCACAAUAUGAUGAUGUACUUAUAGUGUUUUGUCUUGUUUUACGCACGAUUCGGCGGAGAAAAUAGCAUGAAGAGUUACCAUAACAGAACAUCUCCAACUGCGUUGAAAUUUCCGGGGAAGGAGUUUCCGAACAGAUCACAAAGACAGGCCGAAGAAGGGCCGGAGGGGGGCCACAAGGCACCUAGGCGACCUGUUGGCGUUGGUCACCCCUAGGCCGCGCCCAGAGGCCGCCUGGGUGGUGGGUCCCUGCUACGGCAACAGACAACAACACCAUAAAUUGACACGUUGACGGAGACUGGGCUUGCGGUGGUUUUUCCCUUGAAGAGGAAAGGGUGAUGCAGCACAGGAGUAGCAAGUAUUUCCCUCAGUUUGAGAACCAAGGUAUCGAUCCAUAAGGAGGGUCUCGUCAAGUCCAGAGUACCUGCGCAAACACAAA
rnacentral:lncRNA from 1 species